rnacentral:rRNA from 1 species
UACAGGGGGUGCAAACGUUGCUCGGAAUCAUUGGGCGUAAAGCGCACGUAGGCGGUCUGUUAUGUCGGAUGUGAAAGCCCUUGGCUCAACUGAGGAAGUGCAUCCGAAACUGGCAGGCUAGAGUACUAAAGAGGAUCGCGGAAUUCCCGGUGUAGAGGUGAAAUUCGUAGAUAUCGGGAGGAACACCGGUGGCGAAGGCGGCGAUCUGGGUAGAUACUGACGCUGAGGUGCGAAAGCUAGGGGAGCAAACGGG